rnacentral:rRNA from 1 species
GACGAACGCUGGCGGCGUGCCUAAUACAUGCAAGUCGGGCGAACAGACGAGGAGCUUGCUCCUCUGACGUUUGCGGCGGACGGGUGAGUAACACGUGUAUAACCUACCUAUAAGACUGGUAUAACUUCGGGAAACCGGAUCUAAUACCGGAUAAUAUAUUGAACCGCAUGGUUCAAUAGUGAAAGACGGUUUUGCUGUCACUUAUAGAUGGAUCCGCGCCGCAUUAGCUAGUUGGUAAGGUAACGGCUUACCAAGGGAACGAUGCGUAGCCGACCUGAGAGGGUGAUCGGCGACACUGGAACGGAGACACGGUCCAGACUACUACGGGAGGCAGCAGUAGGGAAUGUUCCGCAAUGGGGGAAAGCCUGACGGAGCAACGCCGCGUGAGUGAUGAAGGUGUUCGGAUCGUAAAACUCUGUUAUUAGGGAAGAACAAAUGUGUAAGUAAAUAUGCACGUAUUGACGGUACCGAAUCAGAAAGCAACGGCUAACUACGUG